AACAGCGGCCAGAGGCAUGCUGGGAAGCAAGUGACACAAAGAAGGCUCUUGAGGUCCUAGAUUCAUAUACCUUCCCUCCUCCUUGGUCUCAAUUCCUAGAUGCCUCCUCAAAGCCACCUCCUCCCUCAGUCUCUUGGGUCUCCAGGCCAAGGUUCUGCUCACACUCACACACUGCAGAAGCCCAAGGACUCCACGGAGUUAGACUCACUCUCCUCCCCCUCUCCCAGGCUGGGCUGGGAGGCGACUGUCUCAGGUCUGAACACACCCACCACCUACAGCUCUCUUCCCUAAGGACCAAGGCACGGAUAACCAGAGGACAGAGGACACUCAGACACGCCAAGGAAAGAAUGAGCAGAAAGGAUAGUGUAGGGGGUCCCCAAAUUCCCCCUGGAGUCACAGGUAAGACCAAGUAUAGGGCAGGAGACUGCAAUGACUGAAGUAACCCCAAGUCACUGGAUCCACCUGUACCCCCAGGAAGAGAUAACUGCUCUCACCAUCAGGGAGGACGCGGCCACAGGUUGCAGGGCAGUUGGGGCCCUGAAAGGUCUUACAGUCACCAUUCGGGACCUUCCACAUCCAAGUGUUGCCAUCGGCUGUGCCCGCCAACAGGACAGGAGCCCGAGGGUGCCACUCCAUCCACUGAUCAGAGAGGGAGGAUCAGCAGGCAGGGCCUACUACCCAGCCUACCUAAGUCCAUGAGCCUCAUCUAAGGUGUGACCUUCUAAGGUCAGCGAGAACUUUACAGGCGAAGAGAUACAUUGCUAGAGCUGGGCUGCUAUGGCUCUAGGCAAACUUCUCCAGGCUAGAUCUGGAUCCGUCUGCCGCUAUCCCUCUCACUUAAGGUCCCAAAGAGUGGAAGCUCACUCCAAGGAUCUCACCUCCAGGUCUCCUGCUUCAAAGGACCAGACUUCUUCCUUGGUGUCUACCUGCCAUACUUUCAAAAGACCACUCAUGUCCCCUGUGGCCACUAGGGUGGAAUCGUGACUGAAACCAGCGCAUGUCACAGAGUCUUUGUGGCCUGCAGCAAAGAGAAGUAGGCAGGUUUUAAACUCAAGUUUGCCUAAGAGAUGUACCAAGUUUGAGGCCAGCCUUGCCAACAUCCAAGGCCAACCCAACUAUAUAACCUUUAAAAAGGUGGCAAAAAAGAACAUUAAAAAAUACCUAAAUGUUGGGGACAAGUGA